rnacentral:rRNA from 1 species
CAGCCGCCGCGGGAAAACGGAGGGUGCAAGCGUUAAUCGGAAUUACUGGGCGUAAAGCGCACGCAGGCGGUUUGUUAAGUCAGAUGUGAAAUCCCCGAGCUUAACUUGGGAACUGCAUUUGAAACUGGCAAGCUAGAGUCUUGUAGAGGGGGGUAGAAUUCCAGGUGUAGCGGUGAAAUGCGUAGAGAUCUGGAGGAAUACCGGUGGCGAAGGCGGCCCCCUGGACAAAGACUGACGCUCAGGUGCGAAAGCGUGGGGAGCAAACAGGAUUAGAUACCCGAGUAGUCCCUGUCUCUUAUAA